GAAUUCUAUAUAUUUUGGAAACCAGAAUUCGUCACGGAUAAUUUAGAAAAUGCACGAAAUUUUUACAUAACAAACGAGGAUUACCCGAAUUGUCUUACUGAUAAUCAAUCAAAUAAUUGGAGACCAGUCUUAACAAUUAAAAAGAUGUUGGAGUUCACAACAAAUAUAGUUGACGAAUUUAUAAGGGAACAAUUAUAUAUAAUAAGAAAAUUGCUUUUAUAUAGAGAUAAUUAAAUAGAGCAUUAUAUAAGAUCUUCUGAUAUGAUUAAAAUGUAUUGUAUGUUUUGUAAUCAUAUUAUGAUGAUAGAGUAUUAUGAGUACAAGUUAUAUAUACAUAUGAUGCAAAAUGUGAGUAAUUAUAUUAAUUUAGGCAUAUUUAUAUAUACUCAUAAUGACGUAUUUUGCAAACAGUUUCAAGAUAUCAUAAUAUGUCCGUGUUUUGAAUAGUAUAUGAGCCUGCAUCUGUGUCUAUUUCUGUCAUCAUGUUUUGAGAAAUAUGAGUACAAUAUGAGUAAAGUACAUCCGCGCACUAACAAUCGCAUAUUAGUAUAUAAUAUAUAUAUAAUUGUAAAAAUAUUGAA